rnacentral:sRNA from 1 species
UAUAAAUUUUGGGUUAUUGGAUUCAUACUCUUAUAAAAUGAGUAAAAGUUUUGUGUUAUUCAAUUAAAACAAAAGAAUCUCUGAUUGUUAAUGAUUUCAAUUAUUAUGUUAUCAGUUCAUGACUUUCUACAUUUUUCUUCACAAAAUAAAGUCAUGAAAAGUCAUGAAAGGUAUUAUCAAAAUAGAGAGAUUGUUUGAGAGACUUUACAAGAUUAUAAAAAAAAAUUAACAAGCUUAUAAAAAAUCUCUAACAAUAGUUUUUAGGAUUUGAUUGAAAUCAUUAAAAUUCUUUGUAAAUCCGAAACCAAUAACACCCCCUAAGUUUCGUUACUUAGAAUUUAAUAAAUGACUCCAAUGAAACAAACUACACAACUUAAUGUAGGGGUUCUAAAAUUAUUAGCUUAGGUAUGCUAUCGAUGAUACUAUAUAUAUAUAUUUUAAAACAUCUCUCUUCUUUUUAUUAUUUUGAAAAUUAACAAAUUCCGCUACAAAAACUAAUAAUGAAAGAAUCAUGUUUAUAAAAAAACUGAA